UAUCAUGCAGUUCGAGCGGUCCCUUCGGGGAUAGCGGCGGACGGGUGAGUAACACGUAGGUAACCUGCCUGUAAGACUGGGAUAACUAUCGGAAACGAUAGCUAAGACCGGAUAACUGGUUUUCUCGCAUGAGAGAAUUAUGAAACACGGAGCAAUCUGUGGCUUAUAGAUGGGCCUGCGGCGCAUUAGCUAGUUGGUGAGGUAACGGCUCACCAAGGCGACGAUGCGUAGCCGACCUGAGAGGGUGAACGGCCACACUGGGACUGAGACACGGCCCAGACUCCUACGGGAGGCAGCAGUAGGGAAUCUUCCGCAAUGGACGCAAGUCUGACGGAGCAACGCCGCGUGAGUGAUGAAGGUUUUCGGAUCGUAAAGCUCUGUUGCCCUAGUCGAACAGCAUCAGGAGUAACUGCCUGGUGUGUGACGGUAUAGGAGAAGAAAGCCCCGGCUAACUACGUGCCAGCAGCCGCGGUAAUACGUAGGGGGCAAGCGUUGUCCGGAAUUAUUGGGCGUAAAGCGCGCGCAGGCGGUUAAUUAAGUUGGGUGUUUAAGCCCGGGGCUCAACCCCGGUUCGCAUCCAAAACUGGUUGACUUGAGUGUAGGAGAGGAAAGUGGAAUUCCACGUGUAGCGGUGAAAUGCGUAGAGAUGUGGAGGAACACCAGUGGCGAAGGCGACUUUCUGGCCUAUAACUGACGCUGAGGCGCGAAAGCGUGGGGAGCAAACAGGAUUAGAUACCCUGGUAGUCCACGCCGUAAACGAUGCAUACUAGGUGUUGGGGAUUCGAUUCCUCGGUGCCGAAGUUAACACAGUAAAGUAUGCCCCCCUGGGGAGUACGCUUCCAAGAAUUGAAACUCAAAGGAAUUGACGGGGAACCCCCCACCAAGCAGUGGAGUAUGUUGGUUUUAUUUCGAAACCAACGC
rnacentral:rRNA from 1 species